rnacentral:rRNA from 1 species
CACGUAGGGCGCAAGCGUUGUCCGGAAUUAUUGGGCGUAAAGAGCUCGUAGGCGGUCUGUUGCGUCCGCUGUGAAAACUCGGGGCUUAACCCCGAGCCUGCAGUGGAUACGGGCAGACUAGAGGUAGGUAGGGGAGAAUGGAAUUCCCGGUGUAGUGGUGAAAUGCGUAGAUAUCGGGAGGAACACCAGUGGCGAAAGCGGCUACCUGGCCCAUUCUUGACGCUGAGGCGCGAAAGCUAGGGGAGCAAACGGG